GACGGAGGAGGCUAGCGUUGUUCGGAAUUACUGGGCGUAAAGCGCGCGCAGGCGGCUUGGCAAGUCAGGGGUGAAAGCCCGGGGCUCAACCUCGGAACUGCCUUUGAGACUGCCAGGCUCGAGACCGAGAGAGGAGAGUGGAAUUCCCAGUGUAGAGGUGAAAUUCGUAGAUAUUGGGAAGAACACCAGUGGCGAAGGCGGCUCUCUGGCUCGGUACUGACGCUGAGGCGCGAAAGCGUGGGGAGCAAACAGGAUUAGAUACCCUGGUAGUCCACGCUGUAAACGAUGAGUGCUAGACGUUGGGGGGCUUGCCCUUCGGUGUCGCAGCUAACGCUUUAAGCACUCCGCCUGGGGAGUACGGCCGCAAGGUUA
rnacentral:rRNA from 1 species